GACAGAGGGGGCAAGCGUUGCUCGGAAUUACUGGGCGUAAAGGGCGCGUAGGCGGGAUGGCAAGUCGGUCGUGAAAUCCCUCGGCUCAACCGAGGAACGUCGAUCGAUACUGCUGUUCUUGAGGAUUGCAGAGGAGACUGGAAUUCCUGGUGUAGCGGUGAAAUGCGCAGAUAUCAGGAGGAACACCGGUGGCGAAGGCGGCAUCCUGGACCAACACUGACACUGAGGAGCGAAAGCCAGGGGAGCAAACGGG
rnacentral:rRNA from 1 species